UUCUCAGAAAUCCUGUCAGCCGUGUGACCCAACUCCUCCAAUUCAUGUGAACUCUUUUGCAGAACCACAGCAAAGACACUGUUGUGUGUCCUUCAAUCCCAGAAACCAGCCUUAAGGGAAAACUAUCUCCCCAAAUGACUAUAAACUGGAAUAACAGGAAGUCUCAGAAUCUCUGUAUGCCUCUUCAACAACACUACUCUUCUGUUCUUGGAAAAGCUUGGAUAAGGCACCUAAAGGACUCUCAGACUAUGAGGAACAAGAGUCUCUGGUUGGAUGAAACCAAGAUUGAACACUUUGGCCUGAAUGCCAAGUGUCACGUCUGGAGGAAACCUGGCACCAUCCCUACGGUGAAGCAUGAUGAUGGCAGCACCAUGCUGUGUAGAUGUUUUUUGAGCGGCAGGGACUGUGAGACGAGUCAGAAUCGAGGGAAAGAUUAAGUGGAGCAAAGUAUAGAGAGAUCUUUGAAGAAAACCUGCUCCAGAGCACUCAGGAUCUCAGACUGGGGUGAAGGUUCACCUUCCAACAGGACAACAACCCUAAGCACACAGCCAAGACAACACAGGAGUGGCGUGUGUAGUGAGUAAAGGUUCUGAAUACUUAUGUAAAUGUGAUAUUUCUGUUUUGCAAAAAAUUCUAAAAACAUGCUUUUGCUUUGUCAUUAUGGGGUAUUGUGUGUAGAUUGACAAGGGGGGGAAACAAUUUAAUACAUUUUUGAAUAAGGCUGUAACUCAAUAUGUGGAAAAAGUCAAGGGGUCUGAAUCCUUUCAAAAUGUGAUGUAUAUCUAGGUUAUAUUUUACUAGGAUAUGACGUUUCUAUUUUUAAGGACUUCAAAUGUAUCAAUGGAUGUUUUAGGUAGGCGAUACAUAGGCUACUGUAAAAUGUAGAGUUUUCUUGGUAUAGAAACACCAUAGUAUAAAUGAAUUGAAUUAAGCUAAAAUAUCAGAAAUAAAUCAUAAACAAUAAAGGCCAGUAUCAGCUUAUUUUCAUAAAUAUAAGGGAAUAAAUCAUCUCGAACUGCAGUGGACAAAUUAUUUGCGCACAGAAGCAAGCACCAAAAAGCUUAAAAUAUGCAUUAAGUGUGGGAAACGCGCCCUACAAAUAAAAUAUUAUUAUUAUGAAUAUAAAGACAGGAAAAUACACACUUAAAAGCUUCGUUACAUAAAGAGAUAUUAGUGAAAUUCGGGAAUAUAACCAUAAUACAAACAAGAGAAAGGAGAAUGGAAUAUAUUUGAAAAGUUUACGUUUAGAUUUGAUUGGAGAAAGAAAAUAAGUGGGCCCUCAGGUCAUGACUCAAUACUGCCAUCUGCAGGAAGAUAACAAGAUUCCAACAUUCCAUAGUACUCCAUUACACUUAACUAGGAACCUGCACAGAGUCCAGUAGGACAGUGUCACAAGGCUACAUAGUCACAGGCCCACACUUCACCACUGUUUAAGGGAAUACACAGCUGUCCUUGAUUGUGAGCUAGAAUUAAAUGUUGAAUGAAAUAUGUGCGACACAAGAGGUAAACAACGGUUUUCAUCAAUAGAAUGAAUGUAAGGAGCUAAGGUGAUAUCAUAAGGACAUAGCCACAGGAAGUAGUUUGGGGGGGGAUGUGCAGCGUUUGUACGCUAAUACAGGACUAGUUAAGGCCCAGUGCACUACAUUUGUGAAACAUUUUUAUUUGAGUGUUCACCAGCAUUUGUAAUUUGAGUCUGACAAUUAUCUGUACAAAACAGUUGAUCUGAUAAUACUUGUGGAAAAUAAAAAUAUUUGCUUGAUAUCCA